UGCUUAACUGACUGAGCCAUUCAGGAGUCUCAACAGUCUCCCUUCCUAAAACAAACCCUGACUCUUCUGAGCUUCAAGCGAGGAGGCAAUGGGGGCAUCUUCAUUUGAGGAGGGCACUUUGCAAACAUCUCUUUGCCUGUGGGUUUUGCCUUUCCUUUGAGCACCACUCUCCCUGGUCACACGAGUUGGGGGGGGGAACGUCUCUUUCUCAUGUUGCCUUUAGUACAACUGAGGCAGAUUGGAAUUCUAAAUGGGGACUUGAUGUUAAAAAAAAAAGGAGAAAGAAAAUAAGGCACAAAGACAGUUGCAGUAUCAAAGCAUAAUUUAUUGACGCUACACAAGAACUUCUUGUACCCAGCCCCUUCCCCCACACUCUUUAUAAGUCCCUAGAAAAAUCUCUCUUACAGUGUUUAAGCUCUUCCUAGGUUGGAAGCCUUGGGAAACAGGUUCCCAAGUGUCUGAUGAGUAACCAGUAGACUGCUCAGGCUUCCUGGGUCUAGAGCAACAGAAGCAAGCAGACAAACAAAAGCCCCCCCAUCCCCCGCUCCAGCAGAGGACAGCCUGCUCCAGCAGAGGACAGCCUGUAGCCAUCAGAACCUGAGGCCCCAGGAAGAGGACUGCAGCCAGAGCCCAGAGGGGUGGAGAGGGCUGCCCAACUGCAUCAGCGGGCCCCUCUCCCCAGGCAGCCCUGGGCCUGAUCCCCCCACGCUGUUCUCCUGGCUGCUUGAGUUCCUUGGAUCCCAACAAUACUUAAUGUAGACAUGUCACCCCCACGGUCUGGGGGAGAGAGCUCAAGUCGACCACCUUCCAUUUAGCACCAGGGAAGCCUGUUCUGGGCCCCGGAGAACUCAGAGCCAGGACAGGGCUCCAGGGCAGGGCUGGAGGUUGGGUGGGGACAGGACAGCUAAGGUGCUGCCCAGAACUAGACCCUCUCCUCCUGAAAACAGAGAUACUCGGCUGGUGGUGCGAGGUAUUAGCUAGGAUGCCAUGGGACUGGCUUCUGCGCUUCACAGGACAGAAGGAGCGCUCCCGAGCACCUGCUGGAUGCGAGCACUCUAAUGCUUACGUGCAGUCACGCCACCCCCAGCAGCUCGGUGGAACAGGGGCAGAAAUGAGGAAGAGCACGCAACGACGAGUAGUGUUGCUGUAGAGUGCGCGGAGGUUCCUGUGGACACGUGUCUCAUCUCUAGGGGAAAUACCCAGGCCGGGGAUUUCUGAACGGUAAGGUGGCGGCCGCGUCUAGAGGACGGAGCUACGGAUGCCCCAGCCCCGCUACGGAUGUCUCCCGCUCCCGGAGACGGAGCUACGGAUAUCUCCCGCUCCCGCUGGGAGACAACCCUGGGAUUCAAAAACCCAACCCCAAAUGUGCUUCAAGCAGUUCCCCUGCGGACACGCAGCCGUGCCUACCGGACACCCCUCUGGGCCAGCCCCGCCGCCUCUCUGGGCGACAGCCCGGUCCCCCAGAUCCCCGCCCUCCCUGCAGGUCCUGUGAGUGGUCCCCAAUCCCCACGGUGUGCAGGGAUUCUUCGGUGGGAGGAGCUGCUCCCCGGGGGCUGGGAGCCCAGGAACUGUGAGGAGAGCUUGGAGAGUGGUCCCCGAGGGCCCGAGUGCAGGAGGCCCGCCCGAGCCCCCGCAGCCCUUGCGGCGGCCUGCCCUGGCCACAGCUCACAGCCCCGCGCUCUGGGGCAGCGGGGUCUCCGCAGGUGCAGAGGCAGCCCCGUGGACUGACAGCUGGGGUGCUGAGCGGGGUGAAGGGCUCCAGCGGGGCGUGGGGGCAGUGGAAGGCUGCUGCGGCCGCGGUCCCAGAGGAGGGCAGAGACACGCAGGAGAACAAAUCCGCGCGGCUCCCGGGCUCCCCGGAGUCCAAGGUAUUCUGUUCCCGUGAGGCAGGCUGGCCAGGUCCCAGGCCCCACCCCCUGGAGCCGGGACAUUUUGCCAAGAGAGGAGAGGAAUGAAACCUGCAAAGGUGGGCGCGGCUGGGAGUUCAGGCUGUGCUCCCCGGGGCUGCUGUGCGGCCCUGGGACAGGCUGGGUAAGGGGCUGUCAAGAAGGAAAAACCUUAGAGGUGGAUCAUCUGCUCCAAAUUCCUCCUCCCCACAGGUGAGCUCUCUGAGUGAGGCCCAGGGCGGGGAAGGAGCUUGCUAGUGGUCACACUGCUAAAGUAGUAAAGAAUAAACCAGAGCCCAGUCUCUGGACUCCUUUUCUUUUCUUUUCUUUUCUUUUCUUUUCUUUUCUUUUCUUUUCUUUU